CAGCAGUAGCUACGCAGAGA
rnacentral:misc_RNA from 1 species